rnacentral:rRNA from 1 species
UUUAACACGUGAGCAAUCUGCCUUCGAGUGGGGAACAACCUUGGGAAACCGAGGCUAAAACCGCAUAAGACCACGGCCUGGCAUCAGGCUGUGAUCAAAUGGGGGGACCGUAAGGCCUCUAGCUUGAAAGAUGAGCUCGCGUCCUAUCAGCUUGUUGGCGGGGUAAUGGCCCACCAAGGCUUUGACGGGUAGCUGGACUGAGAGGUUGGUCAGCCGCAUUGGGACUGAGACACUGCCCAGACUCCUACGGGAGGCUGCAGUCGAGGAUAUUAGCAAUGCCCGAAAGGGUGACUAUGCGACGCCGCGUGUGCGAUGAAGGUCUUCGGAUUGUAAAGCACUGUCAGCCGGGAGGAAUCUCGGGGCCUUUAACAAAGGCUCCGGGUGACAGUACCGGCAGAGGAAGCCACGGCUAACUCCGUGCCAGCAGCCGCGGUAAUACGGAGGUGGCAGGCGUUACUCGGAUUGAUUGGGUGUAAAGGGUGCGUAGGUGGGGAUUAAGUCGAAUGUGAAAUCCCUUGGCUUAACCAAGGAAUUGCAUUCGAAACUGAUCUGCUUGAGGGACGGAGAGGAAAGCGGAAUUCCCGGUGUAACAGUGAAAUGUGUAGAUAUCGGGAGGAACACCAGUGGCGAAGGCGGCUUUCUGGACGUCACCUGACACUGAGGCACGAGAGCAUGGGGAGCAACAGGAUUAGAUACCUGGUAGUCCAUGCCGUAAACGAUGUACACUAGGUGUCUGGGCCUUUGGGCUAGGUUGCCGCAGUUAACACAAUAAGUGUACCACCUGGGGAGUACGGUCGCAAGACUGAAACUCAAAGGAAUUGACGGGGACCCGCACAACGGUGGAGCAUGUGGUUUAAUACGACGCUACGCGUGGAACCUUACCACGGCUUAACAUGUACUUGAAAGGCUAUCGAAAGAUAGUCCCUGUCCUAAAGACACAGGUACACAGGUGUUGCAUGGCUGUCGUCAGCUCGUGUCGUGAGAUGUUGGGUUAAGUCCCGCAACGAGCGCAACCCCCGUGAUUAGUUGCUACCCGAAAGGGGCACUCUAGUCAGACUGCCAGUGUUUAACUGGAGGAAGGUGGGGACGACGUCAAGUCAGUACGGCCCUUAUGCCGUGGGCCACACACGUGCUACAAUCCCCGCUACAAAGAGACGCAAGACCGCAAGGUGGAGCAAAUCUCAAAAAAGCGGGGCCAGUUCAGAUUGAGGGCU